ensembl:lncRNA
CCAAGUUGCCAACUUCCUAGGUCAUGAUAUUCGUGUUCAUCGGGAAUAUUAUAGACUUCCAGAGGCUACUACCCAGCUUGCCAAAAUAUCCAAACUACUGAUUGCCAUGGAGAAAGGGUCUCUCAAAAGCCUUCAAGGCAAAACACUUGAAGAGAUUGAAAUCAAAGAUAACCUACAGUUGACAGAUUCAAGUGAAGAAAGUGAGGUCGGAGCGGAGCGUGAGGAGGUCGGAGCGGAGCGUGAGGAGGUCGGAGCGGAGCGUGAGGUCAAUGAAGGAAAUCUUGUAUAUCCACAGAUUGAUUCUAUAGAUACUAGAAUGAUGAAGAAAGUUGUCAAGGAACCUCCAGCACAAAGUAAAAAUGGAGCAGCUUCUCUGGAAAAUGCAAGGAGGGUCAAAAGCAUCCUUGGUCUCCCACGGAGGUUGCUGCGAUAAUGAAGCAUUUUGGCGAACAUAUCAAAAAGGAAAACUGGCCACUAUUAUCGAAUGCCAGCAAUGCAAAACUGCAGAAGAUCCUGCUCUGGCUGGUCGUUCUAUUCAAAACAUCAGAGAUUUUGUGAGGAAUCGGGGCGUGUCGUUGAAGAAAAAAGAAAAUCCUAUGUAGAGGAGUCUACAUAACUCCAAAGUACUUCUUGGAGGAGUUACAAAAGAUAUUUUGUAUGUUUUGGUUUCUCAUUUAUUUAUUUUAGAAUUUUACUAUUAGAAGAUUGGUAAAUUCAUUUUGUUGACACUGUUUUAGUGCAUCUGAUCUAAGAGGACAUAAUUUUAUAUUGCCAGUUAUUUUCAUUUCUGUUAACAAAACAAUCCUGUUUUUGUAAAAUGCACUCAAUUUGUUCCUUUUAUUCACCUGUUGCCCUUUUAAUACACACAAAAUACAUGUUUGUGUAUGUGUAUGGCCUUUGUCCUGUUAAUAAAGUUAGCCCUGACAAUUACUGUUCAUGUCAGGGGG